CGUUCAACUCGUGGAAACACGUUUUUCCGAGCCGCCUUUGAACGCACCAUGAGCAGGCGGAGCCAGGUGGCAAACACCAGUGUCGUGUUGUAAUUUCAAUCACAGAGACGUUGAUUCAGAUCUGUUUCAAGCAUGUUGAGCAAACCAGCAGCCAAGAGGCAAAAGACUUUACCUUGUUUUUUCCAAACAAACCCUUGAUGCCAGCCCCUCCUGCAUCAGUGACCACUUCUGGACAAUGGACCUCUACUGCACCAGUGAUGCCAGCCUCUAAUGCACCAGUGAACGCUCCUUGACCAGUAACCUCUACUGCAACAGUGACCUCUUCUGGACCGGAAGCAAGAACAUCUAGUGGAACACGAGGCCUCCCGAACAUCAACCGCGGCCUGUUUCACGUCAGCUCUGACAGCCGCACAGCGAGAUGUUCCUCUGAAGGCAGUGCUGUGGAGAACACACCACCCAUCGAGUGGUUAUAUCCUGUCUUCGCCUCCGCCUCUCCUCCACUGUAUGCCUUUCUCAUCUCUCCCCUCUUCAGUCCCUCUGUUCUCCUAUCCUUUCAUCUUUUCUCUCAUGUUCCUUCUCCUCCGUCCUCUCCUCUAUUCCUUAUACCCUCCGUUCCUCUCAUCUCCCUUCUUUUCGGCUUUCGAUUCAUCCCUUUCGAUUUUCUCCCCGUCUCCUCUCUUUCUAUCCUUUCCAUUCUAAUAUCCUCUCCUUUUCAUCACCCCUUUUCUAUCGUCUGAUCUGAUUUAAUCCAUUCCUGUCAUCUCAUAUAUUCCCCUUUCGACUUCUCUCAUCUCAUUUCUACUUUCCUCUUCUCUCCUCAUCUUCCCUACUCCCCCCCUCUCCUCUUCCUCCAUUCCUUUCCCCCUCCUCUCUUCUCCGUCAUCCCCGUCCCCUCCUCCACCUCCUCCUAAACUCCCUCUCCCACUCCCUUCCCCUCCCCUCUACUUGUCCUCCUCCCUCCUCCACCCUUCAUUGCCUGUCCGUGAUCACCCGCCUGCACCAGUGAUCAGAUGUGUUUCAGAGAGCGGUGGCUUGACAGCAGAGCAGGUGUGGCGACUUCAAAAGGUGCCACCGCUCGAUGUAACACCGAGGACGGGGAACCGGGUUCAGGAGGGCUGGGGGCAGGCAACUGCUGGUGUGGGGGUACGC
ensembl:lncRNA